UUACAGUGAAAAGCCAAACUAGAGGCAUUUAACUGUUAAUUAAAAGACUGUAAUCAAUUACUUCACU
rnacentral:tRNA from 1 species